rnacentral:rRNA from 1 species
GAUCAUUACCGAGUGAGGGCCCUCUGGGUCCAACCUCCCACCCGUGUUUAUUUACCUUAUUGCUUCGGCGGGCCCGCCUUCACUGGCCGCCGGGGGGCUCACGCCCCCGGGCCCGCGCCCGCCGAAGACACCCCGAACUCUGUCUGAAGAAUGAAGUCUGAGUGAAAAUAUAAAUUAUUUAAAACUUUCAACAACGGAUCUCUUGGUUCCGGCAUCGAUGAAGAACGCAGCGAAAUCGCGAUACGUAAUGUGAAUUGCAAAUUCAGUGAAUCAUCGAGUCUUUGAACGCACAUUGCGCCCCCUGGUAUUCCGGGGGGCAUGCCUGUCCGAGCGUCAUUGCUGCCCUCAAGCCCGGCUUGUGUGUUGGGCCUCGUCCUCCGAUUCCGGGGACGGGCCCGAAAGGCAGCGGCGGCACCGCGUCCGGUCCUCGAGCGUUGGGGCUCUGUCACCCGCUCUGUAGGCCCGGCCGGCGCUUGCCGAUCAACCCAAAUUUUUAUCCAGGUUGACCUC